rnacentral:rRNA from 1 species
GACAAGAAAUAACAAUACGGGGCUUAAAGUCUUGUAAUUGGAAUGAUGGGAAUUUAAACCUCUUCCAGAGUAUCAAUUGGAGGGCAAGUCUGGUGCCAGCAGCCGCGGUAAUUCCAGCUCCAAUAGCGUAUAUUAAAAUUGUUGCAGUUAAAAAGCCCGUAGUUGAAUUUCUGCUGCAUUGCUUGUGUCCCUCUGGGGUCUGUGCAUGUGGCUUUUUUCGGACGGAGUUUCUUUGUCUGAAUGUUUACUUUGAGAAAAUUAGAGUGCUCAAAGCAGGCUUUCGCCUUGAAUAGUUUAGCAUGGAAUAAUAAAGUAGGACUUUGGUUCUAUUUUGUUGGUUUUAGGUACCAAAGUAAUGGUUAAUAGGAACAGUUGGGGGCAUUCGUAUUUAACUGUCAGAGGUGAAAUUCUUAG